GUCCGUCCGUAGUCUUAGGCAAAACCUAUCUGUAAGGGCAUUGACAAGCCUAGGUAGGUGCGUAACCUUAAAAUCCGUGAAGCCGUCCGUGUCUGAUUAAGGUACUGAUUGUGAUGACGAUAGUAAGUCAGCAGGUGGAAGCACUUGUACGGUGGUUACUGCAGCCUCAUAUACAUGAAUGACUGAUGUAGAGUUCGGUUGGAGCGACAAGUAUUUAGCUUGAGAUAGCUAAAUCACCUCGGUAUGAUUAGGGUGAGACCUAGGAACCGUAGGGGUAUUCUCAAAGGAAGCUUUUGCAGUGACGCCCAUGUAAGUGGGAUAUAACAACAGAACUCGUAUGAGUAGCCUAAUUCUGCAACCCUCUUUAGGGUAUGUGUUAGCCAUAUUUUAGGAUGGAAACAUGAAUACAAGAUAUAUUUACUCUUGUUAGGUGAAAGUUGAUGGUCGCCGUGUCAGUCCAUGCCUUUGAAAACAGUUCUAUGUAGUAGGGAGUCGAGAACCUAUGAGAGUUAGAACUUGCACGAAACAUUCUAUUGUCUGCAGUGUAUGUGUGGUAGGGCUAAAAACCCUUGCCUAUUUUAUAAGUUC
rnacentral:sRNA from 12 species